CCUGGGUCAUAGAAGGACAGACUAAUGGCGAAUCCACUAAUGCUAGCCCUAUCUGGGUAACAGCUGAAGAUUUGUCCCACAGGUUCGGCUAACUGAGAAGUAGACUUCGAGAUAUCUGUGAACGUGCCGAUUUGCAAGGGAACAAGUGUGCAGAAGGGGUUGGAAAAGGAAAGGGGCCGGCUUGAUUUGUAGUCAAUUUGUUAAACGUUUUAUGUACUAACUUAUGUAAGGAUUGUUUUUUGGGUUCAGUUCAGCAAACUAUGUAGUUGGUAGCAGGUUAUGGAUGAAACCGAGGAAACCAAUGUAACCUAUGUAACUUCUAUGGAUGAAACCAAUGUAAUUGAAAUCGUUUUCUUUAUGCUAAUGUCUACACCUUAUCAGCCUCUUCCUAUCUCUCUCACCAUCUUUAGAGUUGCUGAUAAUUACAGAUUACAUAUUGUGGAUUCCAAAUGUUGAUAUCUGUCCAAUUUUAUUCUAGUAAAUUGAGAAAU
rnacentral:lncRNA from 1 species